UACCGCUUAACGACGGUCAGUCUUGCUAGAGUGCCCGGCCGAACCGCUGGCAACUAGCAACAGGGGUUGCGCUCGUUGCGGGACUUAACCCAACAACUCACGACACGAGCUGACGACAGCCAUGCACCACCUGCACACAGGCCACAAGGGAACGACUAUCUCUAGCCGCGUCCUGUGCAUGUCAAACCCAGGUAAGGUUCUUCGCGUUGCAUCGAAUUAAUCCACAUGCUCCGCCGCUUGUGCGGGCCCCCGUCAAUUUCUUUGAGUUUUAGCCUUGCGGUCGUACUCCCCAGGCGGGGUACUUCCUGCGUUAGCGACGGCACCGAAGGGGUCGCUCCCCCCGGCGCCUAGUACCCAUCGUUUACGGCGUGGACUAC
rnacentral:misc_RNA from 1 species